UGGGGAAUAUUGCACAAUGGGCGCAAGCCUGAUGCAGCCAUGCCGCGUGUAUGAAGAAGGCCUUCGGGUUGUAAAGUACUUUCAGCGGGGAGGAAGGUGUUGAGGUUAAUAACCUCAGCAAUUGACGUUACCCGCAGAAGAAGCACCGGCUAACUCCGUGCCAGCAGCCGCGGUAAUACGGAGGGUGCAAGCGUUAAUCGGAAUUAUUGGGCGUAAAGCGCACGCAGGCGGUCUGUCAAGUCGGAUGUGAAAUCCCCGGGCUCAACCUGGGAACUGCAUUCGAAACUGGCAGGCUAGAGUCUUGUAGAGGGGGGUAGAAUUCCAGGUGUAGCGGUGAAAUGCGUAGAGAUCUGGAGGAAUACCGGUGGCGAAGGCGGCCCCCUGGACAAAGACUGAAGCUCAGGUGCGAAAGCGUGGGGAGCAAACA
rnacentral:rRNA from 1 species